AAUGUUGAAGAGAGAAAAAAUCA
rnacentral:snRNA from 1 species